rnacentral:rRNA from 1 species
CAGAGGUCCCAAGCGUUGUUCGGAUUUACUGGGCGUAAAGGGUGCGUAGGCGGUCGGGUAAGUCUGAUGUGAAAUCUCAGAGCUCAACUCUGAAACUGCAUUGGAUACUAUUCGGCUUGAGGUCUGGAGGGGGGACUGGAAUUCUCGGUGUAGCAGUGAAAUGCGUAGAUAUCGAGAGGAACACCAGUGGCGAAGGCGAGUCCCUGGACAGAUCCUGACGCUGAGGCACGAAAGCUAGGGGAGCAAACAGGAUUAGAUACCCUGGUAGUCCUAGCUGUAAACGGUGCUUAUUUGCUGUAAAAGGAAUCGACCCCUUUUGUGGCGUAGCAAACGCGUUAAAUAAGCCGCCUGGGAAGUACGGUCGCAAGAUUAA